rnacentral:snRNA from 1 species
UCAGCUUCUCGGCCUUUUGGCUAAGAUCAAGUGUAGUAUCUGUUCUUAUCAGUUUAAUAUUGGAGGAUUUCUGUUAUUUCUCAGAAGGAAUUCUCACUUUGAGAGGAUUUUCCUCUUUUU